rnacentral:rRNA from 1 species
GACGAACGCUGGCGGCGUGCUUAACACAUGCAAGUCGAACGGAAAGGCCCUGCUUUUGUGGGGUGCUCGAGUGGCGAACGGGUGAGUAACACGUGAGUAACCUGCCCUUGACUUUGGGAUAACUUCAGGAAACUGGGGCUAAUACCGGAUAGGAGCUCCUGCUGCAUGGUGGGGGUUGGAAAGUUUCGGCGGUUGGGGAUGGACUCGCGGCUUAUCAGCUUGUUGGUGGGGUAGUGGCUUACCAAGGCUUUGACGGGUAGCCGGCCUGAGAGGGUGACCGGCCACAUUGGGACUGAGAUACGGCCCAGACUCCUACGGGAGGCAGCAGGGGGGAAUAUUGUACAAUGGGACGAAGCCUGAUGCAGCAACGCCGCGUGCGGGAUGACGGCCUUCGGGUUGUAAACCGCUUUCGCCUGUGACGAAGCGUGAGUGACGGUAAUGGGUAAAGAAGCACCGGCUAACUACGUG